rnacentral:rRNA from 1 species
UACCAGCACCCCGAGUGGUCGGGACGAUUAUUGGGCCUAAAGCAUCCGUAGCCGGUCCUACAAGUCUUCCGUUAAAUCCACCUGCUUAACAGAUGGGCUGCGGAAGAUACUAUAGGGCUAGGAGGCGGGAGAGGCAAGCGGUACUCAGUGGGUAGGGGUAAAAUCCUCUGAUCCAUUGAAGACCACCAGUGGCGAAGGCGGCUUGCCAGAACGCGCUCGACGGUGAGGGAUGAAAGCUGGGGGGGCAAACCGG